CCUACGGGGGGCUGCAGUGAGGAAUAUUGGUCAAUGGGCGCAAGCCUGAACCAGCCAUCCCGCGUGAAGGAAGAAGGCGCUAUGCGUUGUAAACUUCUUUUCCAGAGGAAGAAAACCCUCGACGUGUCGGGGCUUGCCGGUACUCUGGGAAUAAGCAUCGGCUAACUCCGUGCCAGCAGCCGCGGUAAUACGGAGGAUGCGGGCGUUAUCCGGAUUUAUUGGGGCGUAAGGGUGCGUAUACGGACAUAUAGAAAACCUGCAGCCUAACUGUAGAAUUGCCAUUGAUACUGUUAGUCUUGAGUACGGUCAAGGUAGGCGGAAUGUGUAAUGUAGCGGUGAAAUGCUUAGAUAUUACACAGAACACCGAUUGCGAAGGCAGCUUACUGGGCCAUUACUGACGCUGAUGCACGAAAGCGUGGGGAGCGAACAGGAUUAGAUACCCGAGUAGUC
rnacentral:rRNA from 1 species